UCCCUGGGACAGCUCUGUGCACUCCAAAUCAAAGCAGUUCUCCAGGCUGGCCUAGACAUGGGGGGGGGGGAUGGGUCCUGGGGCCCCCAGCAUUGGGUUUGCACCAACAGGGUGAGCAAACCAGCCUCAUUUUAUCCCCAGUCAGGGUUAAACCUACUUAAAAUCAGGUGUGUGUGUGUGCACGGAUGGAGAAAGUGCUGUGCAAAGUGCACGUUGGUGAUGGGUGACCCCGAUGUCCCCGGGCAGGCUGACAGCGCUGUGCAGCUCUCCCUGCUUUUGUUGCCAGCUGGAGCCAGGAGCACUCCUGCAGAUCAUUUCGAUUCGGGUAAAUCAGCGCUUUCCACUCCCCAAAGGAUAUUUCCCACCAGUUGGGCUGCGGGGUCACCUCCAGCAGAGAAGACCUUGAGUGAUGGAUGCUGUGUCUCGCAGUCAUUUGGGGAGAGGUGACAGGUGACGACUUCUUGCAGCAGAUGCUACGAGGCGGUGAGGUGCUGCCGCUCAGAUGAGAAGAAAAGAGAAAGUGUCUUCAGCAGGCAGAAGUGACAAAGCGACACAGGAGCUGCCUCAUUUAAUAAUCAAGAAGGAGGGAAAAAAAACCUCCUUAGGUCUCUGGAAAAGAAACGCAUUCGUCUUAAAUAGGGGAACGCUCUGGGGAGCAAACCCUCCCCUUUGCCUCUGUAGCCCUUCACCUGGGACUUCGCUGCUCAUUUAGGAUGCAUUGUAUGGACACUGUAUGGGGAUGAGUGGAGGGCAGGGACAUGGCAGCUGCCCACAGGUUGGUGUAGGCGUGGCCUCAUGCUUUCCUUAACUGAGCAUCCUGUUGUGCUUUGCUGGGCUUUGCUGCUUUCCUGCUUGGCAGCGUGAGCAGAGCCCAUUGACACCUCUCUGCAUACAUCCCAGCUCCCCGCUGCCUGGCUGAGCUGCAUCCCAUAGGACACGGUCCCCAAAGAUCCAAGGAGGAGCGCUGUGGGAUGGGGUCAGCAGCUCCAUCCCGCUGUCCCCAGCCCUGCAGCACGUGCAUGCGAUGCAUGCAUCACAUCUCCUCUUACUUCUUUCCCCAGCGGCUACGAGUGCCGGCUGCGUUCUUGCUGCUAAAAGGAGAUGUUCCUUUAGCUCGAGUGCCCGCUGCCUCCUGCACUGUGCUGACAGAGGGUUUAAUCCCUGCUGACAGGCACUGUUUGUACAGGGGCCGUGCUUUCAGCCUGGUUCCUGUUGCACAGUGGUUGCAUAGCAGAGGAGCAGGGCAGAGAGCUGUAGACGCCUCUGUGCGCCUCUGCAGGACGCGAUGGCAGAUGAAGAUUCUUGCAAUAAUGUGAUAAUUGCACAAGCAUUAGCAAUGUCUACAGAGAGGAUGGGAGAGCAGGGAGGGCUGAGCUCCUGCUGCAGGGCUCAGCACUGGGCUGUGGACUCCCUGUGCCCCCAGUGCUCCUCGGAACCCCCCGCCCCAUGGUGCCCCCCAGCUCAGAGCUCAGAGCUAUGGGCAGCACUGAACUUCAGGUCCCUCCCAGCGGCUCC
ensembl:lncRNA